rnacentral:ncRNA from 2 species
UGUGGUUUAAUCCAAUGACAAGCGAAGAACCUUACUAGGGCUUGACAUGCCGUGAAUCCUCUUGAAAGAGAGGGGUGCCUUCGGGAACGUGGACACAGGUGGUGCAUGGUUGUCUACUUUUUUCACCCCCAUCUAUGUCGUCACACG